rnacentral:lncRNA from 10 species
CUUGGAUACCGCGUCACAAAGAACAUGCAAACAUGAGGAAAGUGAGAGCCCAGAACGCCUAGAAUUUACCUCAGUCCCUGGCUGAGGGACAGGAAGCUUUGAAGUGACAGAUGAAGCUAGGGACCCAGAUCCUGGGAUAGGGCAGGCCCAGCAAGGGCCUGAGGGACCCACUGUCUUCCGUCUGGCCAACAAAUUUAGGACAAGCCUCCCUCCCCAUGCUGCAGUGGAGGAAACGGAAGCUUUAGGAAGAGAAGUGCCUUCUACAAGCUCCACGGCUGGAAAAUGGGCAAAGUCAGGACUCAAACCCUGGUGACUCCAGGGCCCCAGGCCUGGGAAAAAGGAACCCACUCAGCACAAGAAGGCAGCUUCUACUUCCGGUGAUUUCAUCGCUGACCAAUCAGCACUCCCGGCUCACUGGCUUCCCCCCACCCACCAAGUUGUCCUUAAAAACCCUGCUCCCCAAAUGCUCAGGGAGGCUAAUUUAAGUAGUAAUAAAAAUCCAAUCUCCUGCACAGCCGGCUGUGCGUGAAUUACUCUCUAUUGCAAUUCCCCUGUCUUGCUAAAUCUGCUCUGUCUAGGCAGCAGGCAAGGUGAGCCCCUUGGGGGGUUACGGUAGCUGUUUUCCUCUCUGGUA